UAGUCCGCCAUCUGACAGUGUCUCCUUCGACAACAGGACAUCGAGGCAGCCCCAGCAACACAACUGAAAACACUCAUGAAAGAAGACUUCCAGAACUGCUUCAGAAAGUGGUGAGAAUGAUGGGAGAAGUGUGUC
rnacentral:lncRNA from 1 species